CCCUUAGAUGUCCGGGGCCGCACGCGCGCUACACUGAAGGAAUCAGCGUGGCUUUCUCCCUGACCCGAAAGGGUUGGGAAACCCGUUGAAUCUCCUUCGUGAUAGGGAUUGGGGCUUGAAAUUGUUCCCCAUGAACGAGGAAUUCCCAGUAAGCGCGAGUCAUAAGCUCGCGUUGAUUACGUCCCUGCCCUUUGUACACACCGCCCGUCGCUACUACCGAUUGAACGGUUUAGUGAGGGCCUCGGAUUGGCCUCGGCCCGCUCUUCACCGGGCGGCGCCGUUGGUCGAGAAGACGCUCGAACUUGAUCGUUUAGAGGAAGUAAAAGUCGUAACA
rnacentral:rRNA from 1 species